rnacentral:lncRNA from 1 species
AUAUUAAUAAACUUUAUGCAUGGACAAAGAGUGACCUAGAACUUUGGCUGCAGGAACCUGAGACUCAUACCAGUUAAUUUGUUUAGAAUGGUUUUGUUAUAUUGAUAUAUGUGGAGCAAAUUAGAGGUAUGGAAUUUCAUGGAUAUUUAAGCCUAGGAGUCAGUCCUGGGCUAGGUGUCCUGGAGUUUAGUGGGAGUUUGAGGGGUCUUGGCAGCAGGAAUUCAUGGCUUA